rnacentral:tRNA from 1 species
UGGGAUAUAGCCAAGUGGUAAGGCAUCAGACUUUGACUCUGAUAUGCGGUAGUUCGAAUCUAUCUAUCCCAACCA